AUGGCUCUCGUUGCUUUCCUGACUGGUGGGUUUGUCAUUUUGACUUGGUUUUUUCGGCUGGUUAUCAUCUGGUUUGGUGGAGUCUCCCUUGUUACCUGGGUUUUCUUGGCUCUCGUUGCUUUCCUGACUGGUGGGUUUGUCAUUGUGACUUGGUUUUUGGGAUUUGUUGUUAUCAUCUGGUUUGGUGGAGUCUCCAUUUUUACCUGGGUUUUCUUGGCUCUCGUUGCUUUCCUGACUGGUGGAUUUGUCAUUUUGACUUGGUUUUUUGGGCUGGUUGUUAUCAUCUGGUUUGGUGGAGUCUCCCUUGUUACCUGGGUUUUCUUGGCUCUCGUUGCUUUCCUGACUGGUGGGUUUGUCAUUUUGACUUGGUUUUUGGGGUUUGUUGUUAUCAUCUGGUUUGGUGGAGUCUCCAUUUUUACCUGGGUUUUCUUGGCUCUCGUUGCUUUCCUGACUGGUGGGUUUGUCAUUUUUACUCGUUUUUUUGGGUUUGUUGUUAUCAUCUGGUUUGGUGGAGUCUCCAUUGUUACCUGGGUUUUCUUGGCUCUCGUUGCUUUCCUGACUGGUGGGUUUGUCAUUUUUACUCGGUUUUUGGGGUUUGUUGUUAUCAUCUGGUUUGGUGGAGUCUCCCUUGUUACCUGGGUUUUCUUGGCUCUCGUUGCUUUCCUGACUGGUGGGUUUGUCAUUUUUACUCGGUUUUUUGGGUUUGUUGUUAUCAUCUGGUUUGGUGGAGUCUCCAUUGUUACCUGGGUUUUCUUGGCUCUCGUUGCUUUCCUGACUGGUGGGUUGGUUAUUUUUACUCGGUUUUUGGGGUUUGUUGUUAUCAUCUGGUUUGGUGGAGUCUCCAUUGUUACCUUGGUUUUCUUGGCUCUCGUUGCUUUCCUGACUGGUGGGUUUGUCAUUUUGACCUGUUUUUUUGGGCUGGUUGUUAUCAUCUGGUUUGGUGGAGUCUCCCUUGUUACCUGGGUUUUCGUGGCUCUCGUUGCUUUCCUGACUGUUGGGUUUGUCAUUUUGACUUGGUUUUUGGGGUUUGUUGUUAUCAUCCUUUUUGGCGGGUUUUCCCUUGUUACCUGGGUUUUCUUGGCUCUCGUUGCUUUCCUGACUGGUAGGUUUGUCAUUUUGACUUGGUUUUUUGGGCUGGUUGUUAUCAUCUGGUUUGGUGGAGUCUCCCUUGUUACCUGGGUUUUCUUGGCUCUCGUUGCUUUCCUGACUGUUGGGUUUGUCAUUUUUACUUGGUUUUUUGGGCUGGUUGUUAUCAUCUGGUUUGGUGGAGUCUCCCUUGUUACCUGGGUUUUCUUGGCUCUCGUUGCUUUCCUGACUGGUGGGUUUGUCAUUUUUACAUGGCUUUUUGGGCUGGUUGUUAUCAUCUGGUUUUGUUGGGUUUCCCUUGUUACCUGGGUUGCCGCUGCUCUCGUUGCUUUCCUGACUGGUGGGUUUGUCAUUUGUCCUUGGCUUUUUGGGCUGGUUGUUAUCAUCUGGAUUGGUGGGGUUUCCCUUGUUACCUGGGUUUUCGUGGCUCUCGUUACUUUCCUGACUGGUGGGUUUGUCAAUUUUACUUGGCUUUUUGGGCUUGUUGUUAUCAUCUGGUUUUGCUGGGUUUCCCAUGUUACCUGGGUUGCCGCUGCUCUCGUUGCUUCUUUUUUCUUCAUUCAUACCUUGGUUGCCAAGAUUGUUGUCAUUACCCAAGAUGUAUUGCUUUUGUGUGUUACCAGAGUUGUCAUUGUCAGUCAAGUUGGGCUUUUUCCUGGACGGAGUCAGCUUGUAACCUGCGUUGGUAGGUUGCUGGUUGUGACUUGGGUUAGCAGGCUGCUGGUUUUUGAAAGGGUUCGUGGGUUGCUGGCUUUGAACUGUUUUGGUAAGCUUGUGGUUGCCAACUGGGUCCGCUGGCUUUUGGUGGUUGUUUUGGUCAGGAUGUCGCUGGUAGCUCCCUGGUAA
rnacentral:lncRNA from 1 species